rnacentral:rRNA from 1 species
UACGGGGGGGGCAAGCGUUGUUCGGAAUUACUGGGCGUAAAGGGCUCGUAGGUGGCCAACUAAGUCAGACGUGAAAUCCCUCGGCUUAACCGGGGAACUGCGUCUGAUACUGGAUGGCUUGAGUUCGGGAGAGGGAUGCGGAAUUCCAGGUGUAGCGGUGAAAUGCGUAGAUAUCUGGAGGAACACCGGUGGCGAAGGCGGCAUCCUGGACCGACACUGACGCUGAGGAGUGAAAGCCAGGGGAGCAAACGGG